GACGAACGCUGGCGGCGUGCUUAACACAUGCAAGUCGAACGGGCCCGCCCCUGUUUUUGGGGGUGGGUUGAGUGGCGAACGGGUGAGUAUCACGUGAGUAACCUGCCCCCUGCUCCUGGAUAACUGCUUGAAAGGGCGGCUAAUACGGGGUGUGCCGGCUGGUCCGCAUGGGCCUGGUCGGGAUAGUUUCAUCUUCGGGUGUUUCGGUGGGGGAUGGGCUCGCGGCCUAUCAGCUUGUUGGUGGGGUGAUGGCCCACCAAGGCGGUGACGGGUAGCCGGCCUGAGAGGGUGGGCGGCCACACGGGGACGGAGACACGGCCCAGACUCCUGCGGGAGGCAGCAGUGGGGGGUAUGGCACAAUGGGCGGAAGCCUGAUGCAGCGACGUCGCGUGAGGGAUGGAGGCCUUCGGGUUGUGAACCUCUUUCUCCGGUGGUGAAGGCCCUGUCCGUUGCGGCGGGGUUGACGGUAGCCGGGUAUGAAGCGCCGGCUAACUACGUG
rnacentral:rRNA from 1 species